GGGCCUGUAGCUCAGUUGGUAAGAGCACUCGACUCAUAAUCGAAUGGUCGUAGGUUCAAGUCCUACCAGGCCCA
rnacentral:tRNA from 1 species